rnacentral:tRNA from 1 species
GCCUGGGUGGCUCAGUCGGUUGAGCAUCGGACUCUUGAUUCGAGGCUCAGGUC